AUUUUAGAGAGCCAAUUUUGAGAGAAAAUCUGCUCGUAAAAGUUUUACCCAAAACUCUCUUAAAAAAUUUCCCUCCCCUUUGUCUGCCAUUGGAAGGAGCAAAAGACCCAAAUCCUCUCUCACUCAAUGCUUCUCGAGCACCUCCCACCAUCACAACUUCAAUAAUUUCUUUCACAGACACAUUUACUCAGCUCCACAACACCUGCAAAGAGACCAAAUUGUCCUCCUCAAUCCUACCUCGCAGAAUGGAGACCCUCUUAUUCUGGCCGCUAUUCCCAUCUCACUCGGCACUAGCAAAUCCAUUCAAAUUCAUCUCCUCUUUGGUGCCUCAAUCCCCACUCUCACAACACUAGUUGAGCAUUUGCAAAACCCAUGAACCACGAGAGAACCCGAAACCCAGACUCAAUUCAGCUCUUUCUUCGUCAAGCCUAAGCAACGCCAGUGACUCUUUCUCCUACUCAUCGUUGAGUUUAGGCACCACCAGCUGAUCCCUUCGCAUAACCCUCACUCUUACAAGCAAUGUUUCUUUUAGUUGAAGCCCAACUCACCAUUUUCCUCUCUACCCAUAGUACAACUAAUUUUUCUUUGGUUCAAGUCUCUUGCUUCAAUGUUGGGUAAAGCUUUAACUCGAUAUUCUAUUUCUUUUGAGCUUGUAUCAUAAACUAUACUCUUCUGGUUCAUAUAAGUUAAUUUAAUGCUUCCAAAAUUGCAUUUUGCUUAA
rnacentral:misc_RNA from 1 species